GUCAAAACAAGAACUGGUCAUAGCCUCCUA
rnacentral:piRNA from 1 species